GCGAGGGCGCCCGAAGCUGCCUUGGGGAGACUCCGCGCCUCCCGGUCCUCGGAGCGGUCGAGGGGCCAGCCAAUGGGAGAGGGGGGCGGGGCCUGGGCGCGGCAGGGGCGGGGCCGCCCCGAGAUUUGCGGAGCGUCGCCCCGAGCGGGAGGCUGAGCUGGGGGUUGCCGCCGCCUGGGCUCCCGGUUCCGGGCGGCCCCGUGCGCGAGCGCAGGUACGGUCCUCGGGCGCCGGCUGCUUUCUGGAUCGCUUUACUGCAAAAGGUGGCUGUUAUGAACCCUGCUGGACCUCGAGAGUUUGACUUAGGACCCGUUGCGAGAGCAAAUCAUGGCCUUUAGGGAUGCUCGUACCAGAAGACUUCCAGUCCACGUUUUUAUUAGUGAUCAGAAGGUUCCCUGCCCCCACCCCGACGUGAGUGCAGUGAUGAAACGAAUACUGAGCAGGUACAUGUGGCAGGGCGGUUAAUCCGGACAGCAAUCCCAUAAGGAAGCGUCUGUUAUCCCCGUUUGUACAACCGGUCAACUAGUCCAGAGAAGUGCUGUUUGUUCUGUGCUACUUUUAGAAGAAGCCCCCCCCUGCAAAUAGAAGUCAGUGGUGAUCGCAUUAUUCUCCAGAGGACCUGGGCUUCUACUUCAGAGAGAGAAUGAGGACCAUCAAGCACGGAUGUCUACAAUUUUUGCCCAACCAUCUCAUCCAAACCCCACAAAUUACCUAUAUCCACACCCAGGUUUGCUAGCUUUCCUGUGUCUCGCAGGCUGGGUGUCCCCGCUUUUCUCUGAAGCAAACGUCUCCGCUGUCUGCUCCCACCUGUGACCGCCUCUUUGACGCAUCUUUAACCUUGUCCUUUCUAUUGGGUACAACUCUGCAGCACAGUCACAUUUUAAGACUUUUCUGCCUUAAAUUUUCCCAUGAUUUUACAACCUCGUUCUAGUUCUCUCUUCUUUCAUCAUAAUUAAGCUUUUGAAAGAAUUUUGUACCAAGAGCAGCGUUGACCCUCCAUGAAUAUUUUUAGGAUUCAAUAAAUAUCUUCUGACUGAAUGAAUGUACAUUCUCCUCUCCGUUGCAUCAGCUCCUACCCUCUGACUUCAUACCUGGAUUUGAAGCACACUAUAUCCACAAUAAUUCUAAAAUAGGCAUCUGAACAUGUUGCUCCACUGCUUAAAAUCUUUCACUGGCUCAUCGGAACUUUCAAGACAAAGAUUAACAGGGUCUUCAAGGCUCCUUUCAUGCUUGCAUGCUCUGUCUCUCCUGUUAUGCCAAACUCUUCAGAGUCCCCUGAUUGCGCGCGCUCAUCUCUGCUUUAAUGAGUACUGUUUCCUCUGACCUUUUCCUUAGCUUUUUGCUGGUCCAGACCAUUUGAAAGUAAAUCCAAGAACACGCUUACAAGCGCGUUCUCAGCCGUCACACCUGCGUACCCAGCAGAAGUCUGCACACCACCUGCAGAACGCUUCCAGGCCUCCUGCUUCCAUCUCUGCCAUGUCUCACUUUCAGCUCUCCUGAGUCCUCAGUUUCCCUCCUCAGUUCAGCUCCAUUCAGAAGCUGCUAAUAUUCACCUAGGCCCCAAAGUUGACAGCCAAUAUUGAACCAACCUUUUAUUAUUAAAUAUUUCUUUGGUUUCAAAUGAACACUAUUAUAAAUAUCUUUUCAUAAAUCCUUGUCCAUGUCCUUACUGCCUCAAGUCCUGAAAAGUAAUCAAAGGUAUGAACACUUUUAGCCUUUUAGAAACAUGUUGGCAAGCUGCCUUCCAGGAAGAACAUAGGCUCAAGUGUCACAUGGCCUGGGGUCAAAUCGCAGUUCUGCCACCUGGGGCCACGUUCUGAUUUUCAUGGGCCCUAGAUGCUUUUACCUUUGUGGCCACUUCUGCCACAAAAUAAUAUUAAAAAUUAUAUUUAUAACUGCAUUGGUUUAAGGACAGCAUAUUGAUGUUAUAUAGUAAAAUGUUUUCUUUGACCAUAGCAUUCAUUUUUUUUCUUCUGAUUUUAAAAGAAGUUAAAACAUUUUAUGGGCGUCUGAAAUUGUGGUGAGCCUGAGGCACUGUGCCCACUGUGACAAUUGGAUAAGUCAACCCUGCUGCGACCUACAGGCUAUGAGAUUUGGCCAAAUUCCUUAAUCUGGCUGUGCCUCAACCAGAAAAUUGGUGUAACGCGGCCAUAUGAUGUUGUAGCAAAAAGUAAAUAAGUUGUUACAAAUAAAAUACUUAGAAGUACAUGGCACAUAAUCAAUACGUUACCGUCAUUAUAACUUUUAGUCUCAAUUUUCCCACAGAGGUAUAUGAGAGUAUACGAUUGUCCUUCUUCACUGUGCCAAAGUCAUCAUGGUGUAUUUUUAUAUGGGCAAAUAUGGUUUCUUAUUGUUGGCUCAUUGUCCAUUUUCUUACUGGGGUAUUCACAAAAAGUCACUUUAUAUGAUGUAGAUAUUGAUCCUAGAUAAAGCUAUUGGUCUUUUCCAUUUUUGUUUCCUUCUAUUAUUUUUUGCUUCACAAGUCCUUUCCCAUCCUGAGAUCAUAUCAAUUAUCUGCCUUUAUUUUUACUACGUGUUUGGUAAUUUUGACUUUUCCGUUAAAUAAUUUAAUCCUUUGGGAUUUAUUUUGGAGUGAUGAUCUACCUUUCAUUUUCUCGAAAUGGCUGACGGUCUUCCCCAGCUCAUUUUCUAAAGAAUCCUUCUCCAAGUAUGAUGGUUUUAAAAUAUGUAUGCCCACAAAUUCAUCGAUAUUCCUUCCUUCAAAAAGUGGAGACUAAUUCCCUUCCAAGUGAAUGUGGGCUGUACUUAGUGACUUGCUCCUAAAGGAUACAAUAUAGCAGAAGUGACACUGUGGCCAUCUUAAAAAGGUAUCGUGGCUCCUCCCUACCCCCUCUCAGAUCACUUGCUCUGGGGAAGGCAGUUACCAUGUCAUGAAGACAUUAUCAAGUAGCUUUAUCAGACGCCCAUGUGUCAAAGAGCUGAAUAUCCUGCCAACAACCAGCAAGAAUCUGCAGCCUCUGCCAAUCUCCAUGUGACUGAGCCAUCUUGGAAGCAGGCCUUGGGAUGAUGCAGACAUCUUGACUGCAACCUCAAUAGAGACCUUGAACAAGAACCCCCAGCUGAGUCGCUCCCAAAUGCCUGACCCAUAGUAACUGUUUUGGGUUAUUAUGACUCAAGAUUCUAUGAACGUGUCAUCAAAAGUCUUUGUGUUGAAAUAUAUUUUCAUUUUUAUUGGGUAAACAAUGCCUAGAAGUAGAAUUGCUGGGUCACAAGUUCCAUCUGCACCCUCUAGAGUGGAAAGUUUUUGAGACCAGCUGUUUUAUCUCCUGUGUUCACUGCUGUGUCUCCAGUGCCUAAGACAGAGCCUGACAUACAAUGGGUGCUGAGCUGGAUAACUCUCCACAGAUGAUCCCUUGACUAUACUCUUAGCACCAACACUUGACAAUAGUUGAACAGUGAUGAGUUCUUGACCCAAAGGUGUUCAUCUUAAAAUCAGCCUGUAGCUUAUGACACGGCCUGGAAUAAGGGCUCUGCGGACAGUCUCCUGGAAGAUGAUAGCAGUGUCAGACACUCAGAGAGAGAUACAGAUAACAGAAUGGCAUGGAAACAAAGAGGCUUUACAGAAAGAAGCAGUGAUCAGAAGCCGUGAGGUAAAAGUAAAAAGCCAGGUGGAAGUGGCAGUGAAAUAGAAACAGCCAUGGUAGAAGUAAAGAUAAGUUUAGCCACAAAUAUGGAGGAGAAGCUAGAGUAGAGAGCAACGGGCACUUGCUGCUGAGGGGUCAUCGGACGAACAGGACUCGCAGCUGGAUUAUUAUAAUUGUGGAGACACUGCGCACCUGAGCAUCCUGACUGGCAUUCCAGUUUCCCUGGAGACCUGGCCAUAUGACUGUUGAGAGGCGGUUUGUUCAUAUGUCCCUUUGUAUCAACUGAAAUUACCUACGUAUGGCUUUUUUGCUGCCUGAAAAGACCCAACUAAUGCAAGUAUUUUUUAAAAAUAUUGCUAGAUUUAAUUUUCCACUCUUCGUUUGGAGGAUUUAGCUAUAGUUUUUCUUCUGUGUGUGUGUGUAUGUGUGCACACGUGCAUGUGCACGCAAUAUGUGCAUACUAACUUUGUAGGUUAAAUUUUUUCUGUUACAUCCUGUUAACUUCUCUGGUGGGCCCUCUAUAUUAUCUGCCUUCUCAGUGAUACUUUGCUAGGUUUGGCAAAAUUACUUGCAAUUUACAGGUGCUAUUGUUGCAUAACUUUCCUUUACCCUUGUAUUUGAUGAGUGUAUCUCAGAUAGAGAAUCUGUGUUUUGUUAAUCCAUUGCUUUGUGAAACUGAGUGCCAAAUUCCAAAUAAAAAUUCAAAACUUUUAAACACUGUAGUGCAUUUCUUAGCGAACUCUACUUUCUGAAGUAUCCAGAAUUCACCAUAUGGAAAUGUUAUACAAUUUCUCUUGAACAGGUUUGUUUAUAAAGUUUAGUAUCGUGGUGAGUUCAGGAAUCCAGGUGUCCAAAGAUUGGUUGUAUUAAUGACCCCGCUAAAUGGCCUCCGUAAAUCCAUAAUGUUUGUUCUAUAACCUUCAAGUUCCCUCCAACUCGGGGUCUAGGCUUGGGUACGUGACUGGCUUUGGUAAUAGGAUGUUAGCCAGCAUGACGUAAGAAGAGACUUGGAAAGUGUAUGUGCUUUUUGCUGCUUUUUUGUGUGAUUGGCCCGGCUCACCAUUCCCCUCUGCUGUGAUGUGAGAACAUGCCUGGGCUAGCCUGCAGGAAGGAUGUGAGAGGCAUGUGGAAGAGAGCUGUGCUGUUCCAGACAACCCAGCUAGAGCAUUCUAGAUCAGCCGACUGCCAGCUAGCCCUCAGAGUGGGGAGGAAAUCCAGCUGAGACCAGAAGAACAUUCCAGCUAAACCAUUCAAAAUUGUUCACCUGUAGUGAGCAAAAUAAAUGCUUAUUAUUUUAAGGAACUGUGUUUGGGAUGGUUUGUUACAAAGCAUUAUUGUGGCAAUAGAUAAUACCGAGAUGCUGAAAUAGUGGUUAAUCAAUGAGGAGACCUCCCUGUGUAUUUGAGGUGCCAAGUCAGCAAUAAUAUUCACAGAUGGUCGAUAUUUUCAUAUAUUCAUAUCUCUUUUUGUUUUCUUCUGUCUCUGGAAAAACUCCUUUACUGCCCCAGGAACAGUAAUGGUACCAGAGAAUGUUUCCCUCUGGCACUGUAGUAGCGUUUUAGGCACUAGGCAUGUCAAAAAAUAUGUCUGACUUUGCUCAUGGUGCGGUGUUUUGAUAUUUGAAGUGUUAAGAAGGUAAAUGGAUUUUAUUUGACUGGAAUGGUAAAGAUAAGACAUUCUCUGCCUCAAAUACUUGCCUGGAUUUAAGUCGUUGGUAAGAAGAAAAAAAAUAAUUAGGCUGGUGAAUGCUUUCAGUUAUGCCCUUUCCUGAUGACUCAUAGAUUUUAGAAUGCCUUUAAAGAAAUCUUGGAAAUACAGGCUGUCAGGUGAAGUCCUUGCUCUUAUAUUAGGCAAAUAUAGGUUUUUAAAAAGAAAACACAGAGGCUCCAGUUCAAGUUAACAAACAUUUAUUGAUCUCCUCUUACGUACCAGGCAUUAUAAAUACAAAAUCAGUGAAAAUACCCUCUGCACUAGACGAACUUAGAAUUCAGAAAAGAGACAGACAAAUAAAUCACGAUUCCAAUAUUCUAUGGUAAGCACAAUGAAGGCUCAUGCACACAAAGCUUAUGGUGGUCGAGGGGGUGGGGAUGGCAGGCCAGGUUUGUGUUUAAGGAAUUUAAAGGAUGAGUAGAUUUAGGCAAGUAAAAGAAGCGCUUCGCUGAGAAAGGAUUCCAGCAAGGAGCAAUAGCAUGAACAAUGACAUGGAAUGUGGAGCAGCAUGAUUACAUGGGAAACCACAGAACACAAUGGGGGACUGGGAGUUAUACUUGCCAAAAUAUAAUCAAAGUCCUGUUAGGUAUUUGCUUAUGUUUUCAAAUGUGCAAUUAUUUUUGAUAAUAGAGUUUUUGUUUUACACGAAAGUAAUCUUUGAGUAUCUUCUGGAUUUCUGUGAAUUCCGUGUGGACAGGGACCAAGUUCAUCUUCUCUCCUGCAUCUCAGCACCAGCACAGUGCCUGACACUUUGUACAGAUGCAAUACGUGUUUGUUGAGCAAAUUACUGAAUUCUCGAAACUGUCAGCCUUUGCCAAAGUCCUAUAGAAAUUUGUCUUUUAAAUUGUUCUUUUUAAUGUACUCAUAAAGAUGUAUUUUCUUGAAUAAUUUGUCUUUCUCAAAUUGUCUUCAAUAAAGGAUAGCUAAAUCUUCUGAUUUAUAAUUCUCCCUAUUUUUUUCUUUCAGUUUUAUUGAGAUAUAACUGACAUACAGCCCUGUAUAG
rnacentral:lncRNA from 1 species